rnacentral:rRNA from 1 species
UACGUAGGGUGCGAGCGUUGUCCGGAAUUAUUGGGCGUAAAGAGCUCGUAGGUGGUUUGUCGCGUUGUUCGUGAAAACUCACAGCUUAACUGUGGGCGUGCGGGCGAUACGGGCAGACUGGAGUACUGCAGGGGAGACUGGAAUUCCUGGUGUAGCGGUGGAAUGCGCAGAUAUCAGGAGGAACACCGAUGGCGAAGGCAGGUCUCUGGGCAUUAACUGACGCUGAGGAGCGAAAGCAUGGGGAGCGAACAGG